rnacentral:rRNA from 1 species
UACGUAGGGGGCAAGCGUUGUCCGGAAUUAUUGGGCGUAAAGCGCGCGCAGGCGGUCUUUUAAGUCUGAUGUGAAAGCCCCCGGCUCAACCGGGGAGGGUCAUUGGAAACUGGGAGACUUGAGUGCAGAAGAGAAGAGCGGAAUUCCCGGUGUAGUGGUGAAAUGCGUAGAGAUCGGGAGGAACACCUGUGGCGAAAGCGGCUCACUGGACCGCAACUGACGCUGAGGCGCGAAAGCUAGGGGAGCAAACAGG